UGCCUGGUGCAAUGACUCUUGGCCGCUGUGCGCCUAGGCUGCUCCACGCCAGUGGGAGGGCGCACGCCUCCUCCCUGGGCCCCCUCAUAGCCCUGGCGGGGAAUGUGGUGCCGCAAGGCUGCUGGCCCUCGGGAGGAGGCUGGUGUGCUGGGCUGACAGCAUGCCCAGUGGGGAGAAACGCUGUGCCCCGAGGGUCCCCACCUCCCACUUGCCAGUAGAGAGCUGUGGGUGGAUGCUGCAGCAUGCGUCCGUGGGGGAAGACCUGGUCCCUUGAGGCCAAUGUGCAUCCCGUGGGCAGAGAUCUUGUACACUGAUGCCAGCGUGGCCAACUGAGGGGGAAGACAUUGCAGCCCUAGGCCACUAUGCCCUUGGCGAAUAGGGACAUUUGGGCCCUUGGACCACUCUGGGGACAUGUCACACCCUUGGGCAGCAAGUGACUGGCAGAGGACAGCCCAGCAGUCAUUAUCACCACAUAAAGUUGCAUCGCUCAUCUAAUCUCAGACAUUGUUUACCUGGGGAGAAAGUUUUCUCAUCAUUUUACAGAUACUUGUUCCCGAGGGCCAGAGCUGAUCAUACAGCUUUUCUGAGAUGCCAGAAUUAUGGAACCAGGUGCCCUUCUCCUAACAACUGGAUGCAAUGUCAGCAGCAUUCAGAGCCAGAUGGAAGAAUGUCCUAGUAAUUAAUUAACAGCCCUUCUGCAACUGAAGAUUUAAAACUUCUCUCUUUUACUGAGAGCGUUUAUCAAUAAAGUCCGAAGUUUUAUUGUAGUUGAAAGAAUCAUAACAGACCAAUAACACCUAAAAUUUUGUAAUUCAAAAUUUGUAGGCUGGCAGGCAAAUAACUUUUACAUCCAAACAAAUAGAGCCAUUUUGGUUCCUUUUCUCUCAGAGUCAUUCUUAGCUGCAGCUGCUUUUCUCAUUAGCCUCCACAACAACCAAGCAAGCCAGGUACACUGGAUAUGCAUACAGAUACAACUCUUGGGUGGAACCUUUUAUGUUGCUGUUGUCUGCAUAUAUCUUUGGCAGGCUCCUCGCUAAUGGAAAUGCCACACACCCAGGCAUAGACACAUGGAGAAUGACCAAAGGUUUAUGUGGGCCUCUUGUACGCCUUCUGUCAGUAUCUGAAGGGAAUCAGCUAUACAUCUGAGCAGGUCUUGAACACUCUUGUAGUCCCUGGGAGAGAUGGGGUAGAAUGGACCACCACCACAUCUGGGGACAAGGAUGACAUAGCCAUAGGUUUGCUGGAGCCUCAGCCUGAGGCUGCUUCUCCUCAAAAAUAGUCCUCAUAGGGCUCAGAUGCAUGCACUGCAAGCUGAUACCCCCUUGGUCUUGGUGUGGAGUAGGGAGGAGGGUCUCACCCUAGCAUGUGGUGUGGAGGUGUGAUGCCUUGGCUGGUGAGGACCCCAGGGGUUUCAAUAAGGCCAUAGUGGAAUGUUAUAAGAAAAAAUCCUGAGGUUCACAAGGAAGAGUAAAGGCAUUUGCUACCCUUAUGCUCCCUAUGAGAGCCCUGAAUGAGGCCCUUGAUUCCCUCUCAGACUCAUAAAAUCCACACAGAGGGGCACUUGAAGAACAAGUACAAGACAUUCCCUAUAUGAGAGUCAGAAGAUGGAAACAAGCAUUCCAGAUCUAAGGGAGGGGCUGCUGAAGCAGGGCAAUCAGCCCUGGGGAGGCACUUGGUGCCAGUGAAACAAGGGAUAUCGGUACCAUGGAAAGGAUGUUAAGCCUGUGUACAGCACAGGAAAUUCCAGCUCUUCUGACAUCUGAAGAUCCCUUGGCACUGCAAGCUUUCCUAGUACUGAGAAGGGCAGUGCUAUAAACCUCAGCUGACGUUUUCCCAAUCAAGGAAAAACAAACGUCAGGGUUGA